UACGAAGGGGGGCUAGCGUUGCUCGGAAUUACUGGGCGUAAAGCGCACGUAGGCGGAUCUUUAAGUCAGGGGUGAAAUCCUGGAGCUCAACUCCAGAACUGCCUUUGAUACUGAGGACCUUGAGUUCGGGAGAGGUGAGUGGAACUGCGAGUGUAGAGGUGAAAUUCGUAGAUAUUCGCAAGAACACCAGUGGCGAAGGCGGCUCACUGGCCCGAUACUGACGCUGAGGUGCGAAAGCGUGGGGGAGCAAACAGG
rnacentral:rRNA from 1 species